CUGCAGCACCCCUCAUCCUGAGUGUCUGAUUCAAGGGGUCUGGGUUGGGGCCCAAGAACUGACAUUUCCAACAGCUUCCCAGGAUGCUGUUGGUCCAGGAGCCACACUCUGAGGACCACUGCUCUAAGAGAAUCUCCAAAAAGGCUUCACCCACAUUUUCCCUUUGCUCAUGCUGCCUCCUGUCCGACGCUGGCGCUUCCCUGCGUGGCCCUGUGUGGCGUGUUGGGUCCCCUCCUCUUGGGAACUGUGAGUAACAAACUAUCUCUUCAAUGGCCGUCAUCUCAUCAUCUGUUGGCCUCCCCAUACCUGAAUAAUAAUGAAGUCUACAUUUCAAGCCACUCUGUCAGCCUCAUCUACCUUCCAUCUCAUAUCAUGAUGGUAUAGUACACAGGCC
rnacentral:lncRNA from 1 species